CCUACGGGUGGCAGCAGUGAGGAAUAUUGGUCAAUGGGCGCGAGCCUGAACCAGCCAAGUAGCGUGAAGGAUGACUGCCCUACGGGUUGUAAACUUCUUUUAUAAAGGCAUAAAGUGAGGCACGUGUGCCUUUUUGUAUGUAUUUUAUGAAUACGGAUCGGCUAACUCCGUGCCAGCAGCCGCGGUAAUACGGAGGAUCCGAGAGUUAUCCGGAUUUAUUGGGUUUAAAGGGAGCGCAGAUGGGUUGUUAAGUCAGUUGUGAAAGUUUGAGGCCCAACCGUAAAAUUGCAAUUGAUACUGGGAGCAUGGAGUACAGGUGAGGGAGGCGGAAUUCGUGGUGGAGCGGUGAAAUGCUUAGAGAUCACGAAGAACUCCGAUUGCGAAGGCAGCCUACUAAACUGCCACUGACAUUGAUGCUCGAAAGUGUGGGUAUCAAACAGGAUUAGAUACCCUUGUAGUC
rnacentral:rRNA from 1 species